GCCUUUUUAUUUAAAGAUAGAAUUGAGACAUGAUUAAAAGUGGUUUAUGCCCAUAGCUGCCGGUCAUAUGCGUAAGAACUUUGGUAUAGAGGACAUAUACGAUCAUCACAACAAUUCAUACAACUUAUUUUCAUUUCAUUGCAAUUCUUUUAAAACUUUCUUUACAUCUUUUGUUGACAAGCUUUCAUAGGUUCUCUCUUACACAUCUUCAGUACAUGACUUUCAAACUAUUAAUUCUUUCAAGAAGUAAAACUACGAAACCAGUCAGAGUGCCCUCCCCAAGAUUAAUCAUUUGACUUUCAUUUAGAAAUAGUCUGUUGACGAUUUUGGCUGCCAUAGCCAACCCAGGAAAAUUUCAAAUUUGAGUACUCUUUAGUUUGUUUCACUUGAUGAUUUAGUUAGGAAAGAUUAGUGCAUAAUGCCAUCAAACAUCUGAAACUUUUGGUAUGAAUGUCAUGAUUUAUUUGUUGCUAUCAUGAUUCUAGUUGUCUCAGGUGACAACUCCAAAAGGAUGUAUGAAAUAAAAAGCCGAUAAAGGAAGAGUACAUUAGUUUAAUUAUGAAUUCAGAGUGAGAUUUUUCAAUAUUAAGGGAGUACGGUGUAAUCUUUCUCAAGAAAAUCGACUCAGGUAUAGAUAAUCAGUUUGACGAGCCCUCAUAGUAGACGAGAUUGGCAUUCAGCGAAGGAUCGGUAAGACUCCAUCUCAUUCGGAGUGCAUCCGAGUGUAUGAGUCAUCGUGUCAGAAUUUUGCUACGGACUUAUGGGUAGGCCGGUACCCUGUCCCAUUUGAUGUCAAAUAGAGGCUUUGUAGACAAAGGUUCAUUUUGUAUAGUAUGUUAGAGUCCUUGACGGCCCAUAUGUAUUCAUGUUUUAAGAAAAUGGUUCAAUGAUACAGUGUUUUCUCA